AAUUUGUGUGCGUGUGAGAGAGAGAGAGAGAGAGAGAGAGAGAGAGAGAGAGAACGAGAACCCCAAACCACCCCCUGAUUCACACAGUAGGAGAAACAGUAUCAUAUCGACACAAAAUACCCUAACGUGUUCAUAUUAUAACAUUACUGUGAGAUCGUGACCAUAACCAUAAACUGCUUCUCUCCAUUCCAAACCACACAUGGUAUCACAACAUGUCUUUUCCCGUAACGACUGCAUAGAUACCGACAGAUAAGCCAGCUUCUCUCAAUGGGAGGCAAAGGACCCAUUGCCUUUCCUUCCACUGGUCACUCCCUGGUUUUGGUUGAAAAGGUGCUCAGGCUAAUGAUCCCCCACUGGGAGAGCAAGAGACCCCAGGAGUUACGGGCUGGAGGAGGUGUGAACCACUGCAGGUCCUGUGUCGGAGUUGAGAGGCUGCCUCUGACGUGCGAUACUACACAGACGAGAUUGCUCUCAGCUUCUAGAAUAGGCAGCAGGCUUCCCACCCUCAUCCUGCUUCUGUGAAUAUGGAGCACAGGGCCAGCCAAUCCCCACAGCGCUGCCUCUCAUCUAAUGGCAGAAUUAAGACCGUUUAGAGUGAUUUCCUCUGCCUUCAUGGUCGCACUCUGAAAGAACUGAAUCUUUUUCCCUUUGCGCCGAUUUACAAUGUGGGGGGUCUGGCCUGCAACGGGCGAGAGAAAAGUUCUACAUGGCUGAACAUAACAUUACAACAGGUGGGGAAUUGAACAGAGACUCUGCAGAACAUGGCUGGGAACAAUUUGACUUCACCUACGUGUACAUUCUUGUUAAACUGAGGCUUUUUGCAGCAGCAGCAGCAGCAUCAUGUGGGUUUGUGAUUUUAAAACCAGCUUCCCUGGGGAAACAUAUCCAGCACUAGAGUCUGGAUAUUCCCAUCACGGUGUUAAUUGUGGACACAUAAACAGGGUCAUAAAACAUGUUUUCACAGAUACUAGUGACUUGUUUUAUUGUAUUUUCUAAUUUUCACAUAUUUUUACUGGUCAUGGUUUCAUGGAUAGGGCUGGUGUUGAUUUUUUUUAAUUUUCUUAUCCCAAGACAAGACCAAAAACAGGUUUUUGUGUUUUUUAUUGGAAUUGUUGACAAUUAAAAUCACCUGACAUAUCUUUAUCUAUAAACCUGCUAUAUCGCUAUAACCCACUGUAUAUGUGCUGGAGGAAAAUAAAAUUUAAAUGGGACAAAAGCACUCACUAUCCAUUGUCUAC
rnacentral:lncRNA from 1 species